UACGUAGGGGGCGAGCGUUGUCCGGAGUUACUGGGCGUAAAGCGCUUGUAGGCGGUCCACCAAGUUUGGGGUGACAGUUGCCGACUUAAUCGGCAAAGUGCCUCAAAGACUGGCGGACUUGAGGGCCACAGAGGGACAUGGAACUCCAGGUGUAGUGGUGAAAUGCGCAGAUAUCAGGAGGAACACCGGUGGCGAAGGCGGGACUCUGGGCCGAUACUGACGCUGAGGAGCGAAAGCGUGGGGAGCGAACAGG
rnacentral:rRNA from 1 species